GUGCUUAAAAGUCAUUCAGAAGCAUUGAGUUAUCAUUUAUUUUAUUGGAACCAGCCAUAUAUUAGACUACUAAUUUAGAAAUUUUAUUCGUGACUCCAUGCGUAGUAGGUAUGGUGGGAAACAGGAACUAACGAUUCUUGAUUAAGCCCCCCAGACUUUGGUGGCUGAGGUGUGGUGGUGAACUAGUACGUACGUAUGACGUCCCAUUUUCCUAGGGUACAACCAUCCGCACGCUGCUGACGCGUGGAUGGAACCCUUUCGUCAACGGAUGUGACCCAGAUUUAACACGGUUAUCCAAAAGCUGCAUCUUUCAUGCCGGCGGUGGGCCAGAGGAGAAAGCAGAUCAUACCGGCGUCGGCGAUGAUGGGGAUGCCGGGGGCGGCGGCGGUGAUGAACCGAGCUCGCUCCGCCAUCUCCGGCGGCCUGGGCAUUUCAUCAAACACAGACGAUCAGAAGACUAGCUCAGGGUGGAGAAGAAAGGAGCCACGGGUUAUUAUCGCCGGGCCAGGAGCAUACGUGAGGAGACCGAUGUCCGGCAUGCCGAGGUGGGCGGCGGAGACGGCGUAGCCGGAGAUGAAGGCAGCGCUGAAUCCCGUCUUCUGAAUAAUCGCCGCCGAUAGCGCGUCGAAGCAGCCGGGCAUCAGCACGAUCCCGUCCCUCUCGAUCGCCUUGUGGAACCUCGUCUUCCUGCUCCGGCCGUUCUCCCCGCUCCGGCCG
rnacentral:lncRNA from 1 species